rnacentral:rRNA from 1 species
GCUAUUACAUAGCAAGUCGAGCGGACAGAAGGGAGCUUGCUCCCGGAUGUUAGCGGCGGACGGGUGAGUAACACGUGGGUAACCUGCCUGUAAGACUGGGAUAACUCCGGGAAACCGGAGCUAAUACCGGAUAGUUCCUUGAACCGCAUGGUUCAAGGAUGAAAGACGGUUUCGGCUGUCACUUACAGAUGGACCCGCGGCGCAUUAGCUAGUUGGUGGGGUAAUGGCUCACCAAGGCGACGAUGCGUAGCCGACCUGAGAGGGUGAUCGGCCACACUGGGACUGAGACACGGCCCAGACUCCUACGGGAGGCAGCAGUAGGGAAUCUUCCGCAAUGGACGAAAGUCUGACGGAGCAACGCCGCGUGAGUGAUGAAGGUUUUCGGAUCGUAAAGCUCUGUUGUUAGGGAAGAACAAGUGCGAGAGUAACUGCUCGCACCUUGACGGUACCUAACCAGAAAGCCACGGCUAACUACGUGCCAGCAGCCGCGGUAAUACGUAGGUGGCAAGCGUUGUCCGGAAUUAUUGGGCGUAAAGGGCUCGCAGGCGGUUUCUUAAGUCUGAUGUGAAAGCCCCCGGCUCAACCGGGGAGGGUCAUUGGAAACUGGGAAACUUGAGUGCAGAAGAGGAGAGUGGAAUUCCACGUGUAGCGGUGAAAUGCGUAGAGAUGUGGAGGAACACCAGUGGCGAAGGCGACUCUCUGGUCUGUAACUGACGCUGAGGAGCGAAAGCGUGGGGAGCGAACAGGAUUAGAUACCCUGGUAGUCCACGCCGUAUACGAUGAGUGCUAAGUGUUAGGGGGUUUCCGCCCCUUAGUGCUGCGGCUAACGCAUUAAGCACUCCGCCUGGGGAGUACGGUCGCAAGACUGAAACUCAAAGGAAUUGACGGGGGCCCGCACAAGCGGUGGAUCAUGUGGUUUAAUUCGAAGCAACGCGGAGGA